GACGAACGCUGGCGGCGUGCUUAACACAUGCAAGUCGAACGGAAAGGCCCUGCUUUUGUGGGGUGCUCGAGUGGCGAAAGGGGGAGUAACACGUGAGUAACCUGCCCUUGACUUUGGGAUAACUUCAGGAAACUGGGGCUAAUACCGGAUAGGAGCUCCUGCUGCACGGUGGGGGUUGGAAAGUUUCGGCGGUUGGGGAUGGACUCGCGGCCUAUCCGCUUGUUGGUGGGGUAGUGGCUUACCAAGGCUUUGACGGGUAGCCGGCCUGAGAGGGUGACCGGCCACAUUGGGACUGAGAUACGGCCCAGACUCCUACGGGAGGCAGCAGUGGGGAAUAUUGCACAAUGGGCGGAAGCCUGAUGCAGCAACGCCGCGUGCGGGAUGACGGCCUUCGGGUUGUAAACCGCUUUCGCCUGUGACGAAGCGUGAGUGACGGUAAUGGGUAAAGAAGCACCGGCUAACUACGUG
rnacentral:rRNA from 1 species